CAGCAGCCACGGUAAUACGGAGGGAGCUAGCGUUGUUCGGAAUUACUGGGCGUAAAGCGCGCGUAGGCGGUUACUCAAGUCAGAGGUGAAAGCCCGGGGCUCAACCCCGGAACUGCCUUUGAAACUAGGUGACUAGAAUCUUGGAGAGGUCAGUGGAAUUCCGAGUGUAGAGGUGAAAUUCGUAGAUAUUCGGAAGAACACCAGUGGCGAAGGCGACUGACUGGACAAGUAUUGACGCUGAGGUGCGAAAGCGUGGGGAGCAAACAGGAUUAGAUACCCCAGUAGUCCCUGUCUCUUAUAU
rnacentral:rRNA from 1 species